UCAAACUCUCUCACUAUCUCAAACGCUCUCAAACACUCAAAAAACCCUAGCUGUCUCGUCUUCUCAGACCAAUCUCACCAGAGUCCAUGGCUUCUCAGGCCAUGGGCAGCUUGUGCUCACCCUCCUUCACUCCUAAUCCAUGUUUGUUCGAGAUUUCAAGGCCCGAACUCGAUGGUGUUCGAGCAGAUCCUCCAUAGAUCUGAGAUUUUAUGGCUUCUCUGACCCCGUUCCGAUGUAUUCGAGCCUUAAGAGCCUAGCUAUGGCUUAAAUUGGCUCAAGACCAAACUCUUUCCAAGACUUCUCAUUUCUAAGAAAUCCUAAAGCUAUUUUAGGUUCCUUUUCCUUUAUUUACUUAGAUUUGUGGUGAAUCUAUGUUGUAUUCAAUGUUUUAAGCUUUUUCCCCAAUUUUCCCUUUCAAAAUUAAUUUGUUUUCGAUUUAGGAUUUCUGAAAAAUCUCAAAAUGAUUUCUGUCUCUUCUUUUCUUCACUUUGUGUGAAUGUCUAUG
rnacentral:lncRNA from 1 species